rnacentral:rRNA from 1 species
GCUCCAAUAGCGUAUAUUUAAGUUGCUGCAGUUAAAAAGCUCGUAGUUGGAUUUCGGGCGGUUGACGACGGUCCGCCUCUGGUGUGCACUGCCGUUCUUCCGCCUUUCUGUCGGGGACGUGCUCCUAGGCUUCAUUGUCUGGGACACGGGUUCGACGUGGUUACUUUGAGUAAAUUAGAGUGUUCAAAGCAGGCAUCGCCUUGAAUAUAUUAGCAUGGAAUAGCACGAUAGGACUCUGGCCUAUUUUGCUGGUCUGUAGGACCGGAGUAAUGAUUAAGAGGGACAGUCGGGGGCAUUCGUAUUUCAUUGUCAGAGGUGAAAUUCUUGGAUUUAUGAAAGACGAACUUCUGCGAAAGCAUUUGCCAAGGAUGUUUUCAUUA